rnacentral:rRNA from 1 species
UGGCUCAGAUUGAACGCUGGCGGCAGGCUUAACACAUGCAAGUCGAGCGGUAGCACAGGGGAGCUUGCUCCCUGGGUGACGAGCGGCGGACGGGUGAGUAAUGUCUGGGAAACUGCCUGAUGGAGGGGGAUAACUACUGGAAACGGUAGCUAAUACCGCAUAACGUCGCAAGACCAAAGAGGGGGACCUUCGGGCCUCUUGCCAUCAGAUGUGCCCAGAUGGGAUUAGCUAGUAGGUGGGGUAAUGGCUCACCUAGGCGACGAUCCCUAGCUGGUCUGAGAGGAUGACCAGCCACACUGGAACUGAGACACGGUCCAGACUCCUACGGGAGGCAGCAGUGGGGAAUAUUGCACAAUGGGCGCAAGCCUGAUGCAGCCAUGCCGCGUGUGUGAAGAAGGCCUUCGGGUUGUAAAGCACUUUCAGCGAGGAGGAAGGUGGUGAGCUUAAUACGCUCAUCAAUUGACGUUACUCGCAGAAGAAGCACCGGCUAACUCCGUGCCAGCAGCCGCGGU